GAAAGCCCGGUCUCCAUGCAGGGAUGCGGCGUGAGCAUGCUCACGCCAGCGGACAAGCAUGAGAGACGCCGACCCAUAUGAGCAAAAAAGGAACGCGAACGCAGAGAGCGGGACGAUUUGCGAAUAUGGGGAGGAUUGCGGGAAUCCGAAGGAUGGAGCAAUCCAGGGCUUUC
rnacentral:sRNA from 1 species